UACGUACUCGCGUUCUCGGUGAGUAUGUACUGGCCGAGAACGCGAGCACGGACU
rnacentral:pre_miRNA from 1 species